rnacentral:rRNA from 1 species
GUGGGGAAUAUUGGACAAUGGGCGCAAGCCUGAUCCAGCCAUGCCGCGUGAGUGAUGAAGGCCUUAGGGUUGUAAAGCUCUUUCACCGAUGAAGAUAAUGACGGUAGUCGGAGAAGAAGCCCCGGCUAACUUCGUGCCAGCAGCCGCGGUAAUACGAAGGGGGCUAGCGUUGUUCGGAAUUACUGGGCGUAAAGCGCACGUAGGCGGAUAUUUAAGUCAGGGGUGAAAUCCCAGAGCUCAACUCUGGAACUGCCUUUGAUACUGGGUAUCUCGAGUAUGGAAGAGGUGAGUGGAAUUCCGAGUGUAGAGGUGAAAUUCGUAGAUAUUCGGAGGAACACCAGUGGCGAAGGCGGCUCACUGGUCCAUUACUGACGCUGAGGUGCGAAAGCGUGGGGAGCAAACAGGAUUAGAUACCCUAGUAGUCC